GUGGGAGCGCACAGUGUCAGGAAUACAAUAGUGCUCCGCGCCGCCUCGGCUGCCGCCGCCGCCCAGCAGCCUGUCCAGGGCUGAGGCCUGAAGGGCCAGGCGGCCGGGCCGAGGGCGGGAGCAGAGCGCUAGGGGGCGGCCCCCUUGGCUCCUCGGAAGGCCGGGGCAGGAGGGCGGGGUGAGAUUAGGGGGCAGGUGCGAGGGAGGGAAGAGAAGAAAGCGGGCGGCUAGGGGGCGGUUACCACCCUAGCCAGACUCGCCCGGCACGUUGAGGGGGCCCUCAGUGUGCGGCGAGGACCGAGAGGAGCGAGAAGCUGCGCCGGAGGUCUUCCCAUAGACAACAAAAGCAAGGCUCCUAUAAUCAAAAGUGCCUCUGUGCUGAGUCAUUGGGAAAAACUUGCCUGAUCCAAUCUGCCAGACUUGGGAAGGGAAGUGACGAAUCCAGCAUCAUACUGUGGAGUGAGUAGCCAAGAUCCGCCAGUUUGGGGCAUCAGGCUUUGACCUUAGUUUGGAAGAUCUCAAAGGUAACAUUCUUCAUAUAACAGAAUUUUUUCAACAUCUUGAGAACUGAAAUUUAUUAUAUAAAAUAUAAUGGUCCUUGGAAAUGUGGGAAACUGAGUAAAAUAGGGGUGUGUAUUCCUUCUGAAAAUUGUGUGAUAGCAGAAUCUCAGGUUUCAUUGUUUUCUCCUAGGAUAAAAAUUUAGAAUUCCUGUAUUUAAGUCAGGAGCUUGAAAGGAGCUGUCCAUAUUUAUGAAUGUAGUAUUUGACUUUGCCCUUUAUCCAACAAAUACUUAUAUGUUAAUUGGAAUAUUGCUUAUAGUAACACGAGAUUAGUGAUAUAUUGAGUAUCAGUCAGGACUUAGUUAUACAGAAGAGUAUUAUUACACUGUAUAUUAGAAGCAGAGUAGAGCAUGUGUUACCAUUUAUGUAAAACAGUGAUGACAAGAAAAUAUAUAUUUUUGAUUACAUAGAUGGGCUGUUUAAGCUCUGACAGUUUUGGGGCAUGAAUGACCUGGACUAGAAAUUGAG